rnacentral:rRNA from 1 species
GCAGCCGCGGUAAUACGGGGGAUGCAAGCGUUAUCCGGAAUCAUUGGGUGUAAAGCGCCUGAUAGGUUGUUUGAUAAGUCUGUUGUUAAAGCCUAGGGCUUAACCCUAGAAAAGCGAUGGAAACUACCAGACUAGAGUAUGGAAGGGGUAGAGGGAAUUUCUAGUGUAGCGGUGAAAUGCGUAGAUACUAGAAAGAACACCAGAGGCGAAAGCGCUCUACUGGGCCAGUACUGACACUCAGAGGCGAAAGCUAGGGUAGCAAAAGGGAUUAGAUACCCCUGUAGUCCUAGCCGUAAACGAUGGAUACUAGAUGUUGUGGGUUACUUACAACAGAUGUUGUAGAUUAACAUGCAGUGACGAAGCUAACGCGUUAAGUAUCCCACCUGGGGAGUACGCUCGCAAGGGUGAAACUCAAAGGAAUUGACGGGGGCUUGCACAAGCGGUGGAGCAUGUGGUUUAAUUCGAUGCAACGCGAAGAACCUUACCAGGAUUUGACAUACUACAAAUCUUUUUGAGAAAAAAGAGCGCCUUCGGGAAUGUAGAUACAGGUGGUGCAUGGCUGUCGUCAGCUCGUGUCGUGAGAUGUUGGGUUAAGUCCCGCAACGAGCGCAACCCUUAUUUUUAGUUACUAACUUGCUAGGUUCUCUAGAAAGACUGCCGGUGACAAACCGGAGGAAGGUGAGGAUGAGCGUCAAGUCAGCAUGCCCCUUAUAUCCUGGGCUACCAUCACGUGCUACCAAUGGUUAAGACCAAUGAGUCGCGAGCUCGUGAGAGUCCAGCUGAUCCCAUAAAUUUAGCCUAAGUUCAGAUUGU